rnacentral:rRNA from 1 species
UACAGAGGUCUCAACCGUUGUUCGGAUUCAUUGGGCGUAAAGGGUGCGUAGGCGGUCGUGCAAGUCGGAUGUGAAAUCUCAGGGCUCAACCCUGAAACUGCAAUUCGAUACUGCGUGGCUAGAGUGCUGGAGAGGAGACUGGAAUUUACGGUGUAGCAUGUGAAAUGCGUAGAUAUCGUAAGGAAGACCAGUGGCGAAGGCGGCAUACUGGACCACUUCUGACGCUGAGGCGCAGAACGAGC